UCUCGGUUAGCUCAGUCUGGCAGAGCAUCGGUCUUAUGAGCCGAAGGCCACGGGAUCGAGACCCGUACCGAGAA
rnacentral:tRNA from 1 species